rnacentral:siRNA from 1 species
CCACCCUCAUGUUCCUUCUGGCCA